rnacentral:rRNA from 1 species
AUACGUAGGGGGCAAGCGUUGUUCGGAAUCAUUGGGCGUAAAGGGCGCGCAGGCGGCGAGGCAAGUCCGGUGUGAAAGUGCUCGGCUCAACCGAGUGAUGCGCUGGAAACUGCCCUGCUUGAGUACAGGAGGGGACGUCGGAAUUCCAGGUGUAGGGGUGAAAUCUGUAGAUAUCUGGAAGAACACCGGUGGCGAAGGCGGACGUCUGGCCAUGUACUGACGCUGAGGCGCGAAGGUGCGGGGAGCGAACAGGUUUAGAUACCCUGGUAGCCCGCACAGUAAACGAUGUGCACCAGGUGGCGGGGGGUAGCCCUCGGUACCGAAGCCAACGCAUUAAGUGCACCGCCUGGGGAGUAUGCUCGCAAGGGUGAAACUCAAAUGAAUUGACGGGG